UACGUAGGUGGCAAGCGUUGUCCGGAUUUACUGGGCGUAAAGAGCGCGCAGGCGGUCGUUCAAGUCGCGUGUGAAAGCCCCCGGCUCAACUGGGGAGGGUCACGCGAUACUGAUCGACUCGAAGGCAGGAGAGGGUAGUGGAAUUCCCGGUGUAGUGGUGAAAUGCGUAGAUAUCGGGAGGAACACCAGUGGCGAAGGCGGGUCUCUGGGCCGAUACUGACGCUGAGGAGCGAAAGCAUGGGGAGCGAACAGG
rnacentral:rRNA from 1 species